GAAGAGGAACUCUAACUUCGCGCAUCAACUUCAUCCUCUAUGUCAGCCUCACCUUUAGCCCUUUCUUCUUCAACUGCGUGCACCUCCUCACCUUGAACUUGACAAUCAAAAUCAGCCAUAUCUUUUGACACAACACCAACUUGUUCAACUCUAUGCACAUCACCAUCAACAUUUGCCCUCUCUUCUGGCUUAACAUCAGCUUCUUCAACUCCAUGCACCUUUUCCUCUAUGAUAGCCUUACUUUGCACUUCUCCAUCAUAAUCACCCAUCUUUUCAAGUUCAGUCUGACAUUCACAUUCACCAUCACCUUUACCUACACACACAUUCGUCUCAUUCAACAAAUGUUCAACUUGUCCUUCAUCAUCAAGAACAUAUUCC
rnacentral:lncRNA from 1 species